rnacentral:rRNA from 1 species
GACGAACGCUGGCGGCGUGCUUAACACAUGCAAGUCGAACGGAAAGGCCCUGCUUUUGUGGGGUGCUCGAGUGGCGAACGGGUGAGUAACACGUGAGUAACCUGCCCUUGACUUUGGGAUAACUUCAGGAAACUGGGGCUAAUACCGGAUAGGAUCUCCUGCUGCAUGGUGGGGGUUGGAAAGUUUCGGCGGUUGGGGAUGGACUCGCGGCUUAUCAGCUUGUUGGUUGGGUAGUGGCUUACCAAGGCUUUGAACGGUAGCCGGCCUGAGAGGGUGAGCGGCCACACUGGGAUGGAGAUACGGCCCAGACCCCUACGGGAGGCAGCGGUGGAGAAUAUUGCACAAUGGGAGGAAGCCUGAUGCAGCAACGCAGCGUGGGGGAUGACGGCCUUCGGGUUGUAAACCGCUUUCGCCUGUGACGAAGCGUGAGUGACGGUAAUGGGUAAAGAAGCACCGGCUAACUACGUG